UCCCCAAAUUCAAUACAAUUCCCAAAUCAAAAAUCACAAGCCCUAGUCCCCAAAUCCAGCAAUCCACCGUAGCGGCGGCGCAAUUCGUUCAGAUAAACGGCAGCCCAUCUCAUCCUCGCCGUGAAUUUUUCUCUAGAUUUAUGCACAAUGCGCGCUCCAACAUAGCUCGAAUUCAGCUCUGAAUUUUGUCCCUAGAUUUAUGCACAAUGCGCCAAAACAUAGCUCGAAUUCAGCUCGUGAGUUCACACCCUGAGGUUUACGAUCCAUGUGAUGAUUCGUUUGCACUGGUAGAUGCAUUGCUAGCCGAUAGAGCUAGCUUAAUCGACCAUCGCCCGUCGAUUUGUAUGGAAAUCGGCUGCGGUAGUGGCUAUGUCAUCACUUCACUCGCUCUGCUGCUCGAGAAAGAGUGCUCUGGCUCGUACUACAUUGCAACGGACAUAAACCCCCACGCCACCGCAGUGACGCGCGAAACACUAGCCGCGCACGGGUGCUCUGCGGAGGUCGUGCACACGGAUAUUGCAUCGGGGCUGGAGAAGCGCUUGGCCAGAAGUGUGGACGUGAUGCUGGUGAAUCCACCUUACGUGCCGACUCCGGAUGCGGAGGUUGGCUGCCGCGGAAUCGCCUCUUCCUGGGCCGGGGGAGAGGAUGGGAGGCGUGUUAUCGAUAGGAUACUGCCGGUCGCGGACGAGCUUUUGUCGGAUAAGGGCUGGCUGUACAUGGUUACACUCACUGCGAAUAAUCCCGUGGAAUUGUGUGUGCAGAUGAGGAAGAAAGGGUAUGCUUCUCGGAUUGUUCUGCAGAGAUCGACAGAAGAAGAGAGCCUCAACAUCAUCAAGUUCUGGCGGGAUGUGGAUACCUUGCUGGAGGCGAAUGAGUGUACGGAAGUUGAGAAAACAGAGAAUGGGGUCGGGUUGGGAUUGCCUCAUUUUUCUCCGUUUUCGUAUUGGAAUUAUGGGAAGCGCACUUCGAACUAGCACAAAGAGGAUGGGGAAUCAUCUCAUCUUGAUUGAAUUUAGGAUGUGAAAAUAUGUGAAGUUAGAUCUCUGGUUUUGCACUGAAAUAGUGCCGGUUCAUGGAGCUGAUGCAUCGGUGCUCAAUCGAGGAUGUAGCUAACAGACUCAACAGAAAGGGGGCUUACCGACGUAUAUUUCCGUUGGUAAACGCUGAAAAUCCGACAAAGGUGUCGAUGUAAAAAAAAACAGCUAAUAAUAUCCUGUCACAAUUUUUGACCAACGACGUCGACUGGCAGUAAAAUGCCGUUCCAAACGCCGAUGCCAGCCCUACAUGGUUUACUGCUGUUGGAGUAUUACUGAUGGAGACGUUCGACGGUAAUACCUACGGAUUGGUGUCUGUCGGUAAUUUUUUUUUUUUUUCUGACUACCUUGUUUGUUGGUAAUCCGUCUGUGUUUGAUUUUUAUAUAGGGAUGAAAUAUUGUUGUUUUUAUAAAAUGGUGUUUCUUUUAUUUA